AUUGAACGCUGGCGGCGUGCCUAACACAUGCAAGUCGAGCGGUAACAGGUGUAGCAAUACAUGCUGACGAGCGGCGGACGGGUGAGUAACGCUUGGGAAUCUGCCUAUUAGUGGGGGACAACCCGGGGAAACUCGGGCUAAUACCGCAUACGCUCUACGGAGGAAAGCCGGGGACCGCAAGGCCUGGCGCUAAUAGAUGAGCCCAAGUCGGAUUAGCUAGUUGGUAGGGAACGGCCUACCAAGGCUACGAUCCGUAACUGGUCUGAGAGGACGACCAGUCACACCGGAACUGAGACACGGUCCGGACUCCUACGGGAGGCAGCAGUGGGGAAUAUUGGACAAUGGGGGAAACCCUGAUCCAGCGACGCCGCGUGGGUGAAGAAGGCCUGCGGUUGUAAAGCCCUUUCAGUGGGAAGAAAAGCCUCGACCUAACACGUCGGGGUCUUGACGUAACCCAUAGAAGAAGCACCGGCCAACUCUGUGCCAGCCGCCG
rnacentral:rRNA from 1 species